rfam:Methanomethylovorans hollandica DSM 15978, complete genome.
UAUAGCGGCCAUAGCGGCAGGGCAACUCCUGUACCCAUUCCGAACACAGAAGAUAAGCCUGUCCACGUUCCGCACUGUACUUAAGUGCGCGAGCCUUUGGGAACUACGGAUCGCUGCUAUGC